CCCGACAAUGUCCCCAUGCUGCCUACAGUUCUAGAUUUUCUCCACCAGAUCGUCUUUCCCCAAACACUGAUGUAAUCGCACGGGGAAGAAAUGAGCACAGGAGACAUCUGGAGGGACUCAGAAACCCGAAGGGCACCAUUGUCAUGUAAAUGCUUAAACAUGAAGCACUGUGAUUUGGAUAUAAAAAUGUCUCUCAAAGGCUCGUGGGUUAAAGUUUGAGUUGGCAGCUGAUGGACUUCUGAGAGCUGAUAGAAUCCUGAGAACUCCCAUGUCCAGAUGAGUUUAUCCAUUGGUGGAUGGACUAUUGGGAAGCAGUACAUGGCUGGAAGCAGCCGGUCACGGGAGAUGCGCUUUUGAAGAACGUAUCUUGUGCCUAGACCCCUCUGCGCUGUCGUGUGUGACAGAACAGACCACCACAAGAGGUGGCCAGCUGAGUCGGCAUUUGUCCCGCGGAGAGCGGAAACAGAAGGAGAUCCGCAGAAGGAACAGUGAAAUCACAAACCCGGGCCAUGUGGCAAUCUCCGGGCCCUGCUGUGAAGCAAUGGCAGGCAGCACCUGGGCACUGUGAAAUUUUCUUUCAACCUCAUUGGGAUUCUAGAUGUCACUGCAAACCCCUGGUCCUUCUGAAUUGCUGGUGAGCCGUUGCACACAGCAAGCGAUCGGACAAUGUUCUGAUUUUUAUUGCCAUCCCGACAGGCCCAGACAACCAACCCUUGGUGAGGGCCUAUAUUCUGCUACCUCCUUCAGGAGGCAGAGAAACAAACCUAUAUAAAAAGUCAAACAAGUAUAAUCUUGCAGAAGAAAAAAAAAAGGCUUUAGGCAAGACAUUCUGGAGAUAUUAAAUUUUCUCUUAUGAGGAAGGGAAUCUCAGAUCUUGAUAUAACUUGCAUAAGAAUCACAGAUGAUGUACCCAAUCCUUUAACCCCCAUGUUUUCUAAAAGAAGAAAAACAUUUUUCAAAGCAAAAUGAAGGAGGCUUUCUGAUUUACAAAAGGCCUAUUCUUGGAGAUUUCUCAUAAGAGUGAGGCUUUAGGAAAGGAAGCUAAAAUGAGAAAUGGAGGUGACCAUGCAAGGAAGAGGAAACCUGUGCCCUGUCUUAGAGAAUCAUAGCACACAGGAGCUGAGGAGUGGGGAUGGAACAUUCCAGGAAAUGAGGUAAGAGCUUCCUUAAAGCAAUGGGGAAUGGCUGGACCUAGUGGCGCACACCUUUAAACCCAGUACUCAGGAGGCAGAGGCAGACAGAUCUCUGCAAGUACCGAACCAACCCAGUCUACAAAGGAAGACUGUCUCAAAAUACAAAAAGGGGCGGUGUGUAUUCGAAGAAUGAUAGCGUUAAAGAGACAACAGAUGUGCGUCUUUAAAGAAUCACACUUUCUACAUCUCGCAAAAGGGAAAGGAGAUGGAUGUAGGGGGAGGAAGGCUAGGAGCUAUAGUAUCAGCUUGAGGGGGAGCCAAUCAUAGCUUAGACUACGUUACUGGCAAUAGAGAUGGAUGAAAUCAAGAGGACUGGAUCAUAAAUUGCAUUAUAGCCAACAGACGAUGGAACUGUCAUGGGAGAUGAGAUAAUCAGGGUAGAAUCAAAGGACAUCAAAAGCCAAACUGAAGUGUCUGAUUAUGCAUCUGUCCUGCCGCAAAAAUUUUUCAAUAGCCCUGCUUCUACCUGGGAAUAACAGAAAAAUAAAGAGGACAGCCAGGAUUGGUACAUAUAUUGAUGAAAAUGGCCAAAGACCCAAUAUGAAGUUCUCUGGAGUCUUAGAAAAUGCUGUGUUGAAGCCAUAGAGCACAGAAUCUAAACUUGAAGUGGGAGACAAUAAAAGAUGAGCAGGCUAGUGAGCAGAAUGAGGGCGGAGUUGUUCAUAGUCAGGGCUCAAUGACAUACGAUAGGAUGGAUAACUGAAUAAGAAAGCUAGACAGAUAGAAACUGUGAUCAGGUUUGGGUACAUAGAAGCAGAGAUGUUGCGAAUAUUUUCUGCCCCCAGGAUUUGAUUCAGACAGUAGAGAGCUGAGGUGGCACAAGAGAGUCAUUGGAGAAAGAAAUCAACAAAACAGGAGCCAGGGAAUGGUAUGGCCAUGCAUUACAACAUGAUUAAUAGGAACCCAGGUGAAAGGGUUCCUAUCAGACAAGCAUCACGCUCAUUAAUAAGUGAGGGAGGAGUAAUAGAGCAACAACAACGGACCACAAUAGAAGUUACAAGGAAGAGAAACAUUUUUCAGCAACACUGGAACUCACCCAGAAACAACAGCAAGGAGCCCCAACCCUGUCUCUCUCAGAAGCAUAUAAGGAUUACACAGCCCAGUAUUUGACUCCAAAAAGCUACAAGAGAAAACAAGGAUGUAGUCAAGUCAAGACUGAAGGCCCGUAAGUUCCCUGGAGGAUUUAAUAUAGACGUCCAUGCAAAGGCUGGGGAAGCUGGUGUGGGAUGCCCAUGGCCAUGGCAGCCUCAAACACACCUGCUUGUGAAGAAUGAAGCCUGUGCUGAAGACCGAGCCCAGCUCCCACGUCUUCAUUUUAGUUCCAUCCCAUCUCCCAGCCUCUUGGACAUUGGCCAGAAAAGGCAGUUCUGAGAAAAUUCCCCAUUGUUGCUUAAAUGAACACUAUCAGGGAACUCUCAAGAACUCCUAGUAAGAUGUGCUUCGGAAUUCUCUCAGUGUCAAUGCUAAUCAACUCUAGAAACGCCUCCACGGACACACCCAGAAGUGACCUUUACCCAUUUUCUAAACAUCAUGCAAUUCUUUCAAGCUGAGAAUCAAGCGAUACAGAUAAAAGUGUCUCCUUUCGCCAAGGACGUUUGCUUACAUUUCAGGACAGUGAGAAACCUUUCUCCAAAGGGAGGAAGGAAACCGAUGGCCAGCCAAGCUCAGGUGCACCAAUUUGGAGGUCCCUUUCCUGUGAUAUACAUAGGUAUUACAUAGGUAACACCUAGUUCAUCUGUCAUCAUCUGGACAUUGCAGGAACUCAUACUUAGCGCUGCUCCUGCUGCUCUUUUGGCUGUGAGGGAUAAAGGAUGCUUCUCUUUGUGGGUCUUCUGUCCACCCUUCUUAUAUCUGUAAAGUAAGAGAAGGACCUUUGAAGAAAGUACCUUAGAUUCUUUUCCACUUUGGAACUUACCAGAAACAAUGUACAAAUCUUGUUGUUUGCAUUUGGUGUAGGGAAAGGGAGCAGGUAGUUCCAAUUUAAUAAACAUGUAGC